rnacentral:rRNA from 1 species
CUACGGGGGGCACCAGUGAGGAAUUUUGCGCAAUGGGGGCAACCCUGACGCAGCAACGCCGCGUGAGUGAAGAAGGCCUUUGGGUCGUAAAGCUCUGUCAACUGGGAAGAAGUUAUGUGCAUUUAAUAGAUGUACGUAUUGACGGUACCAGUGGAGGAAGCGUCGGCUAACUCCGUGCCAGCAGCCGCGGUAACACGGGGGACGCAAGCGUUAUUCGGAAUUAUUGGGCGUAAAGGGCGCGUAGGCGGUCUUGUCGGUCAGAUGUGAAAGCCCGGGGCUCAACCCCGGACGUGCAUUUGAAACAGCAAGACUUGAGUACGGGAGAGGAAAGCGGAAUUCCUGGUGUAGAGGUGAAAUUCGUAGAUAUCAGGAGGAACACCGAUGGCGAAGGCAGCUUUCUGGACCGAUACUGACGCUGAGGCGCGAAGGCGUGGGUAGCGAAUGGGAUUAGAUACCCGAGUAGUC